rnacentral:rRNA from 1 species
UACGGGGGGGGCAAGCGUUGUUCGGAAUUACUGGGCGUAAAGGGCUCGUAGGCGGCCAACUAAGUCAGACGUGAAAUCCCUCGGCUUAACCGGGGAACUGCGUCUGAUACUGGAUGGCUUGAGAUUGGGAGAGGGAUGCGGAAUUCCAGGUGUAGCGGUGAAAUUCGUAGAUAUUCGCAAGAACACCAGUGGCGAAGGCGGCUCACUGGCCCGGUACUGACGCUGAGGUGCGAAAGCGUGGGGAGCGAACAGG